rnacentral:rRNA from 1 species
UACAUAGGUCCCGAGCGUUGUUCGGAUUCAUUGGGCGUAAAGGGUGCGUAGGCGGCGGGGAAAGUCUGAUGUGAAAUCCUGGGGCUCAACCCUGGAACUGCAUUGGAUACUUCCUUGCUAGAGUACUGGAGAGGAAACUGGAAUUUACGGUGUAGCAGUGAAAUGCGUAGAGAUCGUAAGGAAGACCAGUGGCGAAGGCGAGUUUCUGGACAGUUACUGACGCUGAGGCACGAAGGCCAGGGGAGCAAACGGG